rnacentral:rRNA from 1 species
GACGUAGGGGGCAAGCGUUGUUCGGAAUUAUUGGGCGUAAAGCGCUCGUAGGCGGGACAGGAAGUUCGUGUUGAAAGACCUCGGCUCAACUGAGGGACCGGCUCGAAUACUCUUGUUCUUGAGGCAAGCAAAAGAAUGUGGAACUCCGAGUGUAGCGGUGGAAUGCGUAGAGAUUCGGAAGAACACCCAUGGCGAAGGCAGCAUUCUGGGCUUGACCUGACGCUGAGGCACGAAAGCCAGGGGAGCGAACGGG